rnacentral:rRNA from 1 species
GAGUUUGAUCAUGGCUCAGAUUGAACGCUGGCGGCAUGCCUUACACAUGCAAGUCGAGCGGCAGCGCGGGGGCAACCCUGGCGGCGAGCGGCGAACGGGUGAGUAAUACAUCGGAACGUGUCCUGUCGUGGGGGAUAACCAGUCGAAAGAUUGGCUAAUACCGCAUGACCUCGUAAGAGAAAAGCGGGGGACCGUAAGGCCUCGCGCGACUGGAGCGGCCGAUGUCGGAUUAGCUAGUUGGCGGGGUAAAAGCCCACCAAGGCGACGAUCCGUAGCUGGUUUGAGAGAACGACCAGCCACACUGGGACUGAGACACGGCCCAGACUCCUACGGGAGGCAGCAGUGGGGAAUUUUGGACAAUGGGGGCAACCCUGAUCCAGCCAUGCCGCGUGUGUGAAG